ACUCAAAGGAAUUGACGGGGGCCCGCACAAGCGGUGGAGUAUGUGGUUUAAUUCGAAGCAACGCGCAGAACCUUACCUGGGUUUGACAUCCGGAGACAUCCGUAGAGAUACGGCUUUCCCUUCGGGGACUCCGAGACAAGUGCUGCAUGGCUGUCGUCAGCUCGUGUCGUAGGAUGUUGGGUUAAGUCCCGCAACGAGCGCAACCCCUGUCUUUAGUUGCCACCAUUAAGUUGGGAACUCUAAAGAGACCGCCGGUGUUAAACCGGAGGAAGGCGGGGAUGACGUCAAGUCCUCAUGGCCUUUACAUCCAGGGCUACACACGUACUACAAUGGCAGAGACAAACCGUUGCAGAGCCGCAAGGCGAAGCGAAUCGGAAAAACACUGUCCCAGUCCGGAUUGGAGUCUGCAACUCGACUCCAUGAAGUUGGAAUCGCUAGUAAUCGCAGAUCAGCACGCUGCGGUGAAUACGUUCCCGGGCCUUGCACACACCGCCCGU
rnacentral:rRNA from 1 species